rnacentral:rRNA from 1 species
UACGGGGGGAGCAAGCGUUGUUCGGAUUUACUGGGCGUAAAGGGCGCGUAGGCGGUCGUGACAAGUCACUUGUGAAAUCUCCGGGCUUAACUCGGAACGGUCAAGUGAUACUGUCGGGCUAGAGUACAGAAGGGGCAACUGGAAUUCUCGGUGUAGCGGUGAAAUGCGUAGAUAUCGAGAGGAACACCUGCGGCGAAGGCGGGUUGCUGGGCUGAUACUGACGCUGAGGCGCGAAAGCCAGGGGAGCGAACGGG